CAUAUGCAAACGCAUUGCUUUAAAAAUUUGCCGCGCCGCGCCGUGCCGCAACCGCAUUGAUUGUGUUCGGGCCUUUAGUUACGCGAGUGAUUAUAAACAAUGAAAACAUGGUUUUGCAUAAACAAGAGAUGGUCUAUCUUAACGCCGAUAAUAAUUCAGCCAUCCCAACCGCAACAGCAGCAAACAACUACAAUUCCAGUGUCUUUCAGCAACAUUUUACAGCAGCAGCACAUUAAGAUUUCCCAUCAUCCGACCGGGAUAUAGCAAAAACGUUCAAACUAUGCUUCUGCCACAGGGUUUGACUCCCGAUCCUGCAGUUCGCGCUCCUAUCUCCGAUGCCUCAAUUUGAUACUAAUCAUCAGAAUGACCGCUUCAAGUUCUGCAACCUUAUCAACUUCACGUUUUAGCAAAUAUUGUCGACGAGAUUCAAUCCUCAACUUGGUAGCAACUUGAUCAUCCGCUUCGAGCUUCUCCUCUAAAUCGGACACAAGAUCGCUUUGGAUUUGCAAGAAACAUUUCGUCAAAGGAAGAACUGUGAGUCCAUAUGAUUUUGCUGAUGUCGAUUGGGUUCCAAGCCUCUGCUUGAAUACAACUGAAAGUUUCCUAAAUGUACUAGAUGCAAAAGUUGAAAAUGUAGAUAGUAGUAACCUCUUACGGC